UACGAAGGGGGCUAGCGUUGUUCGGAAUCACUGGGCGUAAAGGGCGCGUAGGCGGCUUUGUAAGUCGGGGGUGAAGCCUGUGGCUCAACCACAGAAUUGCCUUCGAUACUGCAUGGCUUGAGACCGGAAGAGGUAAGUGGAACUGCGAGUGUAGAGGUGAAAUUCGUAGAUAUUCGCAAGAACACCAGUGGCGAAGGCGGCUUACUGGUCCGGUUCUGACGCUGAGGCGCGAAAGCGUGGGGAGCAAACAGG
rnacentral:rRNA from 1 species